rnacentral:rRNA from 1 species
UACGUAGGGUGCGAGCGUUAAUCGGAAUUACUGGGCGUAAAGCGUGCGCAGGCGGUUUGUUAAGACAGAUGUGAAAUCCCCGGGCUUAACCUGGGAACUGCAUUUGUGACUGGCAAGCUAGAGUAUGGCAGAGGGGGGGUAGAAUUCCACGUGUAGCAGUGAAAUGCGUAGAGAUGUGGAGGAAUACCGAUGGCGAAGGCAGCCCCCUGGGCCAAUACUGACGCUCAUGCACGAAAGGCGUGGGGAGCAAACGAGGAUU